CGGCGAGUGAGCGGCAAAAGCUCAAAUUUGAAAUCUAGCACCUUCGGUGUUCGAGUUGUAAUUUGAAGAUGGUAACCUUGGGUUUGGCUCUUGUCUAUGUUCCUUGGAACAGGACGUCAUAGAGGGUGAGAAUCCCGUCUGAUGAGAUGCCCAUUCCUAUGUAAGGUGCUAUCGAAGAGUCGAGUUGUUUGGGAAUGCAGCUCUAAGUGGGUGGUAAAUUCCAUCUAAAGCUAAAUAUUGGCGAGAGACCGAUAGCGAACAAGUACAGUGAUGGAAAGAUGAAAAGAACUUUGAAAAGAGAGUGAAAAAGUACGUGAAAUUGUUGAAAGGGAAGGGCAUUAGAUCAGACUUGGUGUUUUACGAUUAUCUUCUCUUCUUGAGUUGUGCACUCGUAUUUCACUGGGCCAGCAUCGAUUCGGAUGGCAAGAUAAUGGCAGUUGAAUGUGGCUUCACUUCGGUGGAGUGUUAUAGCUUCUGCUGAUAUUGCCUGUCUGGAUCGAGGGCUGCGUCUUUUGACUAGGAUGCUGGCGUAAUGAUCUAAUGCCGC
rnacentral:rRNA from 1 species